rnacentral:lncRNA from 1 species
UAUGCAAAAGUCGUUGGAAGAAUAUAAGAGACAAUUAUUUGAAGCACAAGCGGAAAAUGCCUACUGGCAGCUCUACUCUUACUAUGCAACCAAAAUGGCAUUUAUAUAAAUAUUUGGGAUUUUUGAAUACCGUAGCCUACGAGAGACCUUCUAUUACUAACACUGAAAAUGAUGCACACAAGUGACCAUGAAGAUGAUUAUCAUGAUAAUCAGUUUCUUCUUGAGGCAAAUUCGCCCAUGGCGUUGUCAGAUUUAUCUCAUUUAUCAGAAUCAGAGCCUGCCGUUAAAAAAUAUCGGAAGGAAACUUCAGAUUCUGGAAGAUCUCGAGAAGCAACUCCAAGUAGUAGCAGAUCAGGGAUUUCGAAAAAACAAAAGAGUCAAGUGUUGGACAAUAUGGAUAAGAGGUCUCAGCAAAGACUGGAGCUUUUGGAAAGGAUUGCCUUAGUGUUACUGCCCACUUUUCCUCUGGCGAUAUCAUAGUUUGGACAAAAUGUGUAGCUGAUUUGAUAUGAUACACCGUUAAGAUGGUCCCUCCUAACAUACCCGAUCUGAAACAGAAGGAAAACCAUUAUUGGAUGAGGAAAGUAAACAAUAAUAUGGGAUAUUGUUUCAUAUUUUUGUUAGUUGAAUAGCAUUAAGAACUGCCAUUGAUUUUACAUUGUAUAAACGAUAGGCUAAAAUGUCCAAACUACCGAAUAGAGAAUAAGCUGUCAUUAAAUAUAAAAUUUGUAACAGACUAGUUAGUUUUAAAUAUUGCCUGACCCGUAGAUGUGUUCUCGGUUCACUAAGAAGGUAAAGACUGUCGUCCUUAUUGACUGAUAGUGCGGUCUGGUGGUUUUUUCCACCCAGCUGGUCAUUUCACAAUUGAUUUUACCUUGCAGAUCAAUUUGGCCUAUUUUAGAUUUUAUUGAAUAUAUUAAUAGCACAUAUUAAUUAUUUAUUUUGUUUAAGUCAUAAGGAUCAAUACUGAUAAAAAUGUUAAUGUCAACAAUCUGGUCUGUCAAUUUUUUUUUGUAAGUCAUUGUUGCUAAACCAUGGCCUCAAGUUAUAAGUUGCUCCAUAGCUGCAAAUCACUUAAACCAAUGUUGGUACCAGAUAAUACCCAGUAGUUAAACCCAGCAUGUCAACAGCUGGGUACUUGAUAGAUAAGUGCAUUCCUUAAAAUCUGGGGGAAACUGACAAUCCUAUUUUUAAUAGAUUCAUUCUUUAUCUGGUUCUGGAAUAUGACAGACAGUUUCGCUUAAUGCGGAUGUGAAAAGGUAGACCCUAUCUCGGCAUAAUUUUUCUUGAAGUUACUAGUAUGUGCUAGGAUAACUUAAUUGCUUAUUUACUAAGUAAGCUUAAGAGUUUAUAGGGCUCCCUGUUUUUUUUGUGUUAAAUAAACCCCAGAAAAGGCCACAUUCCAUCUUCGGCCUUCCUGUACCUUCUGCUUAUCCUGUGCUUCUGCUUUUGCUGCAUUUUUUAUUGUUACUGGUUCCACCUCACUUGCUAUUCCAUGUGUUACCACAUCAAGUCGCUUGGAUCAUCACCUCCGGAACCUGCAUUCCUUCCAAUCGGCUACACCUAAUACCGAUUGCCUUUCACUACCUGCUAGAUAUUCUGGAAGCAUCCUAACUGGUCGAUCUGCUGCUGCCUCUUUUGGCCCAAACGUAUAGCUGCCAACAAAGGAGCCCUAUUCAGACCAGGUGGGCCCUGCUGCCAGCCAGAUGCACACAUGCCAGUCAGAGAGACUCAGAAUUUCAGAUACCCCCUUUUUGGCUUGGUUUCUUCAGUGUACAAACAUCCUGGC